rnacentral:misc_RNA from 1 species
UCCCCGUUACCGGGGCAGUCUAGCCAGAAAAAUUCAACUGGCUACAAGGGUUGCGCUCGUUGAUGGACUUAACCAAACAUCUCACGACACGAGCUGACGACGGCCAUGCAACACCUGUCACCGAUCCAACUAAAUGAAAUUCUCCUUUCGGAGAACGGUUAUCGGGAUGUCAAACCCUGGUAAGGUUCUUCGCUUAGCCUCGAAUUAAAGAACACGCUCCACCGCUUGUGCGGGUCCCCGUCAAUUCCUUUAUGUUUUAAGCUUGCGCUCGUACUCCACAGGCGGGAUGCUUAACGCGUUAGCUUCGCUACUACAGGGGUCGAUACCUAUAACAGCUAGCAUCCAUCGUUUACGGCGUGGACUAA